GCACUUGGCAAGUCGUGCUGUGGCAGGCAUCCCACACAGAAAGUAGAGGAAGAUGGGCACAGAUUUUACCUCAGAGCCAGUCGUCCUCAGCAAAAAGAGGAGAAUUGCUGGCAUAUUCUGAAAGACUGCACCGUCUUUGGAGAGUUGGGAUGGAAGCACAGCUGUCCUUUCCUCGACACAUUCCGUUCAGGUGGCCGUGGUUUUCCCAGGGGGUACUCGAGGCCACCGAAUGACGCAAGGAAGAUUAGCCCUGAGCUAACUGCUGAGGAAGACUGGCCCUGAGCUAACAUCUGUGCCCAUCUUCCUCUACUUUACAUGUGGGACGCCUACCACAGCAUGGCUUGCUAAGCGGUGCCAUGUCCGCACCCGGGAUCUGAACCGCAAACCCCGGGCUGCUGAAGCGGAAUGUGUGCACCUAACUGCUGCGCCACCAGGCCGGCCCCUGAUGAGGACUUCUAAGAUCUAUUCUCUUAGCAACUCUUAAAUAUUCAAUAAAGUAUUAUUAACU
rnacentral:lncRNA from 1 species